AUACCGUGAUGAGGACAUUGUAUCCUCAUCUCUUUGAAUCUCUCCCAUGACUCUGCCAAAGACUCACCAGUUAACUGUCUGAAAUUCUGAAUAGAUCUCCUCAUUUUCUGAGUCU
rfam:Ipomoea nil DNA, scaffold: scaffold0865, cultivar: Tokyo-kokei standard.